GACGAACGCUGGCGGCGUGCUUAACACAUGCAAGUCGAACGGAAAGGCCCUGCUUUUGUGGGGUGCUCGAGUGGCGAACGGGUGAGUAACACGUGAGUAACCUGCCCUUGACUUUGGGAUAACUUCAGGAAACUGGGGCUAAUACCGGAUAGGAGCUCCUGCUGCAUGGUGGGGAUUGGAAAGUUUCGGCGGUUGGGGAUGGACUCGCGGCUUAUCAGCUUGUUGGUGGGGUAGUGGCUUACCAAGGCUUUGACGGGUAGCCGGCCUGAGAGGGUGACCGGCCACAUUGGGACUGAGGUACGGCCCAGACUCCUACGGGAGGCAGCAGUGGGGAAUAUUGCACAAUGGGCGGAAGCCUGAUGCAGCAACGCCGCGUGCGGGAUGACGGCCUUCGGGUUGUAAACCGCUUUCGCCUGUGACGAAGCGUGAGUGACGGUAAUGGGUAAAGAAGCACCGGCUAACUACGUG
rnacentral:rRNA from 1 species